UGCUGCGGAUGGGGGCAGUACU
rnacentral:miRNA from 1 species